UAAUGCUUUUCAUCAGCUAUACUUGCAAGCUGCCUAAUUUUUGAGGUGGGGGGAAUCAUUAGCACUGGAGAAGAGAUUAAUUAGCAUUGACCCAGCGGGCAGGCACGAAGUAUGCAGCUCUCUUUUCAAUCGCUUCGUGUUCCACGAUAUUGUGAUGGGUUUGAAGCAUGUAAUUCUUUAGUAACAACAUCUAAGGACAGCCCGUCAGGUGAAGUUGGGUUUUAAAACAGUGAGAAGUGCUGCUGUGUAGUUUGAUAGUUUCCGUUAUUGGCAUCAGCUCAAGAUUCUGGGACUGCAGCCUGCUACACACCUCCAUACGUUCCUAAGAAUUCUUGUAUCCAUAUAUCUCUUUUCUUAAAAUUUGUUUUGGCGGUGUUAAGAGCUUUUGCUGAGCUUUUGUUUACUAUUCUAUUUUAUAUAUAUUUUGAAUUAUUUUUGUUGUA